GGAAACCAUACAUCUUCUAAUCUUCCCCCGGUAUCAUAUUCCAAAACAAUACAUACAGUUCUAAAAACAAAAUAUCAAAACCAAUCGAUGAAUUAUACAACGCAUCCACAUCGCUAUUCCAACUUCUGUUAACGGCACGACCUUCGAGGAAAGUUUUAUGAAACUUUGAAUGAAGUCACGUUUAUGUACCUUGAAGGAUCGCCUUUUCACUCUAGAGGUUUCAGAAAAAGACUUCUUGUUGCAUAUACUGAAAGUAUGGAGCUUCUGGAAUACAUUUGAGAAAUUAUAUUGAGAAUUUUUAUGUAUAAUUAGGUAUUUACAAUGAUACAAGUGUAAUUUAUUGAAGUAUACUUAUAUACUAAUGUUUUAUUUUAUUAUUCCUCUGGUGAAUGAGAAAUUUGUAUGCAUCUCAUGCAUUUCAACCAUUUCACUUCGAAUUUCGAUAUUAUUAAAAGAUGGACCUUCAAAAAUGAAUAUUAACGUAUAUUAAUAAAGUGAAAAUAUUAAUAAUGUAAGAAUCAAAAUAUUUAUUACGUAAAUGUCGGAAAAAGAUUAUAAUUUGAAAAAUUACGAAAGACUGCGGUAAAAAAGAAACGAAGUAUUUUUACAGUUCAUGUGUAAAAGGAAAUAGGGCGGAAAGAAUCUUCCAUUCUUAUUUUCCUCCCGUCUCUUAUCCAGCGCUAUUACGAGUACGUAGAUUCACUUUGCUCUCUAAAACAAGUACCUCUCGAGAUCUUUUUUCCUGCUGGUUUCUCCGUCUUUCUUUCCGUAUUUCUCAUUACUUUUCUGUAGGCGGAUGAGAGAGAAAUAAGAGUUGAAGAUGACGUGCCUUUAUUACUUCUUGUACUCUCACUUAAGUUCAAGUACGUAACGAAAAUUGCGUAAACUCGCUCAUUAACGCAAUUCCUAAGCGAUAAAUUUAUUAUAUCACGAAUAAAUAGUAGAAAUAAAUGAAAAUCUAUAAAAAAUAA